rnacentral:lncRNA from 12 species
CAUCUGUCCAGCUACUCGUUAGGUAAGGUAAGGGCAUGCAUCUUUAAGAAGCUUUGAUUCAUUCUCAUUGCCAAAAUAGCCCUCAGAAGUGAUUUCACCAAUUUGCAGUCCUAAAACUAGUAUGCAAGAAUGACUUUUUCCCACACCCUACCACUGUCUUGUUUUAAUUUGCAGUUCUUUGAUGAGUUAAUGUUUCCUGUUUCGAUAUAUGUUUAUUGGCUAUGUAUGCCAUACCUGUGUAUAUUCCAUGCUUAUCUGGGAGAGAAGUGGGAUUUUUAUUGAUUUUCUUUUACUUGAAUUUUUAUUUUUAUCUUUAAUUUUGAUUGUUUAAACAUUUUGCUGCAAAAAAAAAGAAAAACGGAACAAAGAAAAGAAAACUGGAUUUUAUUUUACUUUAAUUUUUUUUAUUUUUAAUUUUGAUUGUUUAAAAAUUUUACUGCGUAAAAGAAUAAAAUAAAAUAAAAUUUUUCUGCAAAAAAAAGAAAAACAAAACAAAGAAAAGAAAACUGCUCCAUGCAGUUGUCAGGCUAGUGUACAAUAUCAACACCAGACACCGUGCAUCGCCCUGAGUUAUCUGUGGCGGUCUCUGUUCCUAACUAUCUCCUAAGUGGAUCUACCCCUGCUUCAGCCUCUGCCUUCAUGCUCUUACCUCCUCUCCACCAGGCACCUGACCGAGUGCUCUGUCUUCCUUCUCCUACCAGCAUGAGGUUGCUUACAAGGUUGUUUUAUGCCAAGAUUUUCACUUUUGAAGUCUUUCCCAAGAUGUCAUCUUUUUCCAAAAAAAUGGUAAAUAAGUGGCUUAUUCCAUACUCUCAAACACUCAGAUCUCUCAACUAUGAAUGUAAUUAAAGCAUUAUAUUCACACAAGUGAUCUAAGCCUGUUUGAGCAUCUUCUUGAGCUGGAAACUCACUACCUCCUGAAACUGCCCAGACCUUCUCUGGCUGCCUUUCACCGCAGAAAAUCCAUCUUUACACACCAUAAAUCACACACUUUCUACCCACCUCUCUAACUCUUCCCUUUUGGGAUGACACAGACUGAGUCAUACUCCUCUUAGAAACAUCAACCUUCCGGGCACCUGGCUGGCUGGGUCAGUGGAGUCUGCAACUAUUGAUCUCGACAUUGUGAGUUUGAAACCCCACAUUGGAUGUUGAGAUUAUUUAAAAAUAAUAUCUUGGGGGUGCCUGGGUGGCUCAGUGGUUGAGCAUCUGCCUUUGGCUCAGGUUGUGAUCCUGGGGUCCUGGGAUCAAGUCCCGCCUCAGGCUUCCCACAGGGAGCCUGCUUCUCCCUCUGCCUGUGUCUCUGCCUCUCUCUGUGUCUCUCAUGAAUAAGUAAAUAAAAUCUUUAAAAAUAAAAUAUUUGAGGAAAAA